rnacentral:rRNA from 1 species
GACGAACGCUGGCGGCGUGCUUAACACAUGCAAGUCGAACGGUAAGGCCCUUCGGGGUACACGAGUGGCGAACGGGUGAGUAACACGUGGUGAUCUGCCCUGCACUUUGGGAUAAGCCUGGGAAACUGGGUCUAAUACCGAAUAUGACCAUGGACUUCACGGUUUGUAGUGGAAAGCUUUUGCGGUGUGGGAUGGGCCCGCGGCCUAUCAGCUUGUUGGUGGGGUAAUGGCCUACCAAGGCGACGACGGGUAGCCGGCCUGAGAGGGUGACCGGCCACACUGGGACUGAGAUACGGCCCAGACUCCUACGGGAGGCAGCAGUGGGGAAUAUUGCACAAUGGGCGCAAGCCUGAUGCAGCGACGCCGCGUGGGGG